CAAUAGCGUAUAUUAAAGUUGUUGCAGUUAAAAAGCUCGUAGUUGGAUUUCUGGUAGGAGUGACCGUUCCGAACUUGAUUGUUCGUGUAUUGUGUUUUCUCCAGCCAUCCUUGUGGAGAACUUUUCUUGCAUUAAUUUGUAGGGAUUGGGACCCGCAUCGUUUACUGUGAAAAAAUUAGAGUGUUUAAAGCAGGCAAUCGCUUGAAUACAUUAGCAUGGAAUAAUAAGAUAGGACUUUGGUACUAUUUUGUUGGUUUGCAUACCAAAUUAAUGAUCAACAGGAACAGUUUGAGGAUAUUCGUAUGAACAUGUCAGAGAUGAAAUUCUUGGAUUUUGAUCAGACGAACUACUGCGAAAGCAUUUAUCAAGGAUGUUUUCAUUAA
rnacentral:rRNA from 1 species